UACGAAGGGGGCUAGCGUUGUUCGGAAUUACUGGGCGUAAAGCGCGCGCAGGCGGUCUUCCAAGUCAGUGGUGAAAGCCCGGAGCUCAACUCCGGAACUGCCAUUGAAACUGUUAGACUUGAGGACGAGAGAGGUGAGUGGAAUUCCCAGUGUAGAGGUGAAAUUCGUAGAUAUUGGGAAGAACACCGGUGGCGAAGGCGGCCAACUGGACGAAUACUGACGCUGAGACACGAAAGCGUGGGGAGCGAACAGG
rnacentral:rRNA from 1 species